AACGAACGCUGGCGGUAUGCCUAACACAUGCAAGUCGAACGAGACCUUCGGGAGUGGUGGCGCACGGGUGCGUAACGCGUGGGAACCUGCCCUUAGGCAUGGAAUACCUCCUCGUCAGGGGUGCUAAUACCGGAUAAUGUCCUCUGACCAAAGAUUUAUCGUCCUUGGAUGGGCCCGCGUUGGUUUAGCUUGUUGGUAGGGUAAAAGCCUACCAAGGCGACGAUCCAUAGCUGGUCUGAGAGGAUGAUCAGCCACACUGGGACUGAGACACGGCCCAGACUCCUACGGGAGGCAGCAGUGGGGAAUAUUGGACAAUGGGCGAAAGCCUGAUCCAGCAAUGCCGCGUGAGUGAUGAAGGCCUUAGGGUUGUAAAGCUCUUUUACCCGGGAUGAUAAUGACAGUACCGGGAGAAUAAGCGCCGGCUAACUCCGUG
rnacentral:rRNA from 1 species